rnacentral:rRNA from 1 species
GAAUUGCGAUAAGUAAUGUGAAUUGCAGAUUUUCAGUGAAUCAUCGAAUCUUUGAACGCACCUUGCGCCCCUUGGUAUUCCGAGGAGCAUGCCUGUUUGAGUGUCAUUUGACUUAUCAACCAAGAGUUUUUUAUUUAUUAGACUUUUGGCUUGGACUUGGGAUCGCUGGCCUUGACUCGGGUCGGCUUUUCUUAAAUGCAUUAGCGAGCGUCAGUCUACAUGCACGGCCUUUCGACGUGAUAACGAUCGUCGUGGGCUGGAAGGUGUAGGUUCUUGCUUCUAAAUGAAUCUAUUAGACGUGUGGCACGGCCUGAUCGCUGGGAAGCAUAUGGAUAAUCAUCCGUGUGCACGGCCUGAUCGCUGGAAGCAUAGCGAAGUAGAUUAAAACCGAUGGGAAUUUAUCUAUUAAACGGUGGGUAACGUGGUACGGCAGGAUCGCUGGAAGCACGGUAUUAAUGAUGACUAUGAUGAAGUGGAAAUGAUAUGUCUAUGGAAACAUAGAGACAUGAAAGCUCAUCAUGAUUAGCAUUAUGUACUGUGUGCACGGCCUGAUCGCUGGAAGCAAUAUCUGUCGAGUGUGGCACGGCCUGAUAGCUGGAAGCAUAGUGAACGGAAGACUAUUAGCGAGCGGAAGUGAUAUGUCUAUGACACGAAAGCUUGUGAAUUAGGAUCUGUCUACUACGUGCACGGCCUGAUCGCUGGAAGCAUAGGAUCGAUGGAUAAAUUCUAGUCGAAAACCUAAUUGACCUCAAAUCAGGUAGGACUACCCGCUGAACUUAA